rnacentral:rRNA from 1 species
UACAGAGGGUGCGAGCGUUAAUCGGAAUUACUGGGCGUAAAGCGUGCGUAGACGGUAGCGUAAGUCAGAUGUGAAAGCCCCGGGCUCAACCUGGGAACUGCAUUUGAGACUGCUCUGCUCGGGUGCGGAAGAGGGAAGCGGAAUUCCGGGUGGAGUGGUGAAAUGCGUAGAGAUCCGGAGGAACACCAAAGGCGAAGGCAGUGUCCUGGGGAGUACCUGACGCUCAGGUGCGAAAGCCAGGGGAGCGAACGGG